CGAAAUUCUGACGGAGCAACGCCGCGUGAGUGAUGAAGGUUUUCGGAUCGUANAACUCUGUUGUUAGGGAAGAACAAGUACCGUUCGAAUAGGGCGGCACCUUGACGGUACCUAACCAGAAAGCCACGGCUAACUACGUGCCAGCAGCCGCGGUAAUACGUAGGUGGCAAGCGUUGUCCGGAAUUAUUGGGCGUAAAGCGCGCGCAGGCGGUUUCUUAAGUCUGAUGUGAAAGCCCCCGGCUCAACCGGGGAGGGUCAUUGGAAACUGGGGAACUUGAGUGCAGAAGAGGAGAGUGGAAUUCCACGUGUAGCGGUGAAAUGCGUAGAGAUGUGGAGGAACACCAGUGGCGAAGGCGACUCUCUGGUCUGUAACUGACGCUGAGGCGCGAAAGCGUGGGGAGCGAACAGGAUUANAUACCCUGGUAGUCCACGCCGUAAACGAUGAGUGCUAAGUGUUAGAGGGUUUCCGCCCUUUAGUGCUGCAGCAAACGCAUUAAGCACUCCGCCUGGGGAGUACGGUCGCAAGACUGAAACUCAAAGGAAUUGACGGGGGCCCGCACAAGCGGUGGAGCAUGUGGUUUUA
rnacentral:rRNA from 1 species